UGAUGUCUGUUGUUAAGUCAUUUGUCUUCUGACUGCUCAUUCUGUCGUUCUCUGUAUGUGGGGCAGAUCCAGGUUAUGCUGGCCAAGUCUGAGAAGUCCUGGCUGGAGUCACAUAUGAACUCUGACUACACUUUCUGCUUGUGUGCUGAGGAGACCAAGACUUUUUAUUAGGAUGUUGCAGCCAUCAAACUGGAUGAGAAGAGCAGAGGAGACAGACAACAGGAAGUCACCUGGGAAUUGCUGUGCUCCUCAGGCCAUAGCUCAAGCUAAUCCACUAUCCUGCUUUGCUUUUACACCGAGGUCAGGAGCUCGUAUAGUCCAGUUCCCUUUUACCAUGCUGGUUAGGUUAUUGGUCUCUCCAACCCUGUGGGAGUCUCAAUUCUCGGCACUCCAUUUCCGUAACCCAGCACUCCAGAACAUGGUGAGCCUUUAACACCAGUUCUGUAUGUUGGCUAAUGAUGUCGAGCCAUGCACACAGGGAGAAGAUGAAGAUCACUUUUGAGCUUGGGCACCAGCAUGCAUUCUCCUUACAUUGCUAGUUUGUCCUGCAUAGAAAUCUCAGUUUCUUUGUGCUGGCUCCUGCUAGGAUGGAUAGAUUGGUGGAGACUUUUAAGGGAUCUUUUUUUCUUCUAUCAGUGCCAGGUAAAGUCAACUUCACUGUCACCAUAGAGGCCCUCAAUAGCAGAGACCUGUGCAGCAAUAAGAAAGUGACUGUGACAGACAAAGGUCACCGUGAUACACUGGUUAAGCAUCUGCUUGUCCAAGAAAUUCCGUCUGGAACAUGGUCUCUCUGCAGCUUCCUGAGAAUGUGGUUCAAGGUGCAACAAGGGCCCAAGCGUCUGUGCUGGCCACCAAACCAAGAUGUGACUGACAUGACUGCAAUUUCCACAUAUGUGAGAAUGCCAAAGGGGAUGAAUGACAUGCACAGAAGCUGAUGAAGCCAAUUGGAGGCUUGCAGAAGACAGUAACAAGGAGAACUUAUGUGGUUGAGUAAAUGUUGAGAGGAUUUGUGGUGGAAGGCCGGCAGAAUUACAGGGUAAGUAGUGACACUACAGAAAUAAGCCCCGUUUACCUGAGUAUCUGAUCUUUGCCUGUGCCUUGUUGUCCUUUAUCUUUGAUGCCCU
rnacentral:lncRNA from 1 species